rnacentral:misc_RNA from 1 species
ACUGAGAAAUAAUUUUUAGAACAUAAUUAAAAGUCUAUUGAGGUAUAUAUAAAAUUGAAAAUGUCAAAGAAAAUUCAGUGAAUCGGUACAAACGAAAACGAAAAUUAAAGAAAUCAAUGAAUUCGGAAUUAAAUCGGUAUUACCGAAAAAUUCGAAAUACAACCCGAAGAAGGGCAUUUUGGUCAUUUGACACUUAGAGUUGAAUUUUGACCUAAAUUUCCAUUAAA